rnacentral:rRNA from 1 species
UUCCGGUUGAUCCUGCCGGACCCGACUGCUAUCGGAUUGAGAUUUAGCCAUGCGAGUCGAACGUCCCCCUGUUGCGGGGGGCGUGGCGUACGGCUCAGUAACACGUAGUCAACCUGCCCUGGAGACAUGGACAACCCCGGGAAACUGGGAUUAAUCCGUGAUAGGUCAUCUCAUCUGGAAGGAGAGAUGGCUUAAAGGGGUACGCGGGCUUCUUCUGCGUAUUCGCUCCAGGAUGGGACUGCGACCGAUCAGGCUGUUGGCGGGGUAAUGGCCCACCAAACCUGUAACCGGUACGGGCCUUGAGAGAGGUGGCCCGGAGAUGGACACUGAGAGAAGGGUCCAGGUCCUACGGGGCGCAGCAGGCGCGAAACCUUCGCAAUGCGCGAAAGCGUGACGAGGUUAAUCCGAGUGGCCCCCGCUGAGGGGGUCUUUUGUCAGCUGUAAAUAGGCAGGCGAAUAAGGGGAGGGCAAGCCUGGUGUCAGCCGCCGCGGUAAUACCAGCUCCUCGAGUGGUCGGGGCGAUUAUUGGGCCUAAAGCAUCCGUAGCCGGUUCCGUAGGUCCUCUGUUAAAUCCAACCGCUCAACGGUUGACCUGCAGAGGAUACCGCGGGACUAGGAGGCGGGAGAGGCGGACGGUACUCCGCGUGUAGGGGUAAAAUCCUUUGAUCCGCGGAAGACCACCAGUGGCGAAGGCGGUCCGCCAGAACGCGCUCGACGGUGAGGGAUGAAAGCUGGGGGAGCGAACCGGAUUAGAUACCCGGGUAGUCCCAGCCGUAAACGAUGCUAGCUAGAUGAUUCAUUCGCAAGUCGCGAAUGAAGUGUCGCAGGGAAGCCGUUAAGCUAGCCGCCUGGGGAGUACGGUCGCAAGACUGAAACUUAAAGGAAUUGGCGGGGGAGCACCACAAGGGGUGAAGCCUGCGGUUCAAUUGGAGUCAACGCCGGG